GGGCCAUUGGCGCAGUUGGCUAGCGCGCUUGUAUGACACACAAGAGGUCACUGGUUCAAGUCCAGUAUGGCCCACUA
rnacentral:tRNA from 1 species